rnacentral:rRNA from 1 species
AGUACCGGCCGCAAGGUUAAAACUCAAAUGAAUUGACGGGGGCCCGCACAAGCGGUGGAGCAUGUGGUUUAAUUCGAUGCAACGCGAAGAACCUUACCAUCCCUUGACAUCCAGAGAAUCUGUUAGAGAUAGUAGAGUGCCUUCGGGAGCUCUGAGACAGGUGCUGCAUGGCUGUCGUCAGCUCGUGUUGUGAAAUGUUGGGUUAAGUCCCGCAACGAGCGCAACCCUUAUCCUUAGUUGCCAGCACGUAAUGGUGGGAACUCUAGGGAGACUGCCGGUGAUAAACCGGAGGAAGGUGGGGACGACGUCAAGUCAUCAUGGCCCUUACGGGAUGGGCUACACACGUGCUACAAUGGCAAAUACAAAGGGUUGCUAACCUGCGAGGGUAUGCGAAUCUCAUAAAGUUUGUCGUAGUCCGGAUCGGAGUCUGCAACUCGACUCCGUGAAGUUGGAAUCGCUAGUAAUCGUGGAUCAGAAUGCCACGGUGAAUACGUUCCCGGGCCUUGUACACACCGCCCGUCACACCAUGGGAGUGGGCUGCACCAGAAGUCAUUAGCUUAACCUUUGGGAUGGCGAUGACCACGGUGUGGUUCAUGACUGGGGUGAAGU